rnacentral:rRNA from 1 species
CUACGUGCCAGCAGCCGCGGUAAUACGGAGGGUGCGAGCGUUAAUCGGAAUAACUGGGCGUAAAGGGCACGCAGGCGGUUAUUUAAGUGAGGUGUGAAAGCCCCGGGCUUAACCUGGGAAUUGCAUUUCAGACUGGGUAACUAGAGUACUUUAGGGAGGGGUAGAAUUCCACGUGUAGCGGUGAAAUGCGUAGAGAUGUGGAGGAAUACCGAAGGCGAAGGCAGCCCCUUGGGAAUGUACUGACGCUCAUGUGCGAAAGCGUGGGGAGCAAACAGGAUUAGAUACCCUGGUAGUCCACGCUGUAAACGCUGUCGAUUUGGGGAUUGAGCUUUAAGCUUGGUGCCCGUAGCUAACGUGAUAAAUCGACCGCCUGGGGAGUACGGCCGCAAGGUUAAAACUCAAAUGAAUUGACGGGGGCCCGCACAAGCGGUGGAGCAUGUGGUUUAAUUCGAUGCAACGCGAAGAACCUUACCUACUCUUGACAUCCAUGGAAUCCUGUAGAGAUACGGGAGUGC